AUUGAACGCUGGCGGCAUGCCUUACACAUGCAAGUCGAACGGUAACAGGUCUUCGGAUGCUGACGAGUGGCGAACGGGUGAGUAAUACAUCGGAACGUGCCUAGUAGUGGGGGAUAACUACUCGAAAGAGUGGCUAAUACCGCAUGAGAUCUACGGAUGAAAGCAGGGGAUCGCAAGACCUUGUGCUACUAGAGCGGCCGAUGGCAGAUUAGGUAGUUGGUGGGAUAAAAGCUUACCAAGCCGACGAUCUGUAGCUGGUCUGAGAGGACGAGCAGCCACACUGGGACUGAGAAACGGCCCAGACUCCUACGGGAGGCAGCAGUGGGGAAUUUUGGACAAUGGGCGCAAGCCUGACCCAGCAAUGCCGCGUGCAGGAUGAAGGCCUUCGGGUUGUAAACUGCUUUUGUACGGAACGAAAAGCCCCGGGUUAAUACCCUGGGGUCAUGACGGUACCGUAAGAAUAAGCACCGGCUAACUACGUGCCAGCCGCCGCCGUAA
rnacentral:rRNA from 1 species